rnacentral:rRNA from 1 species
CAUGCAAGUCGAGAGUCUUCGGGACUCGGCAUACUGCUCAGUAAUAUGUGGUUAACCUACCCUAUACUCAGGGAUAAUCUCGGGAAACUGAGGCUAAUACCUGAUAGAUAUCCUGUUCUGGAAUGACAGAAUAUCCAAAGGUGACGGUAUAGGAUGGGACCAUACCUUAUCAGCCUGUUGGAGGUGUAAAGAACCCUCAAAGCUAUAACGGGUACGGGCCAUGAGAGUGGGAGCCCGGAGAUGGAUUCUGAGACAUGAAUCCAGGUCCUACGGGACGCAGCAGUUACGAAAACUUCGCAAUGCUCUAACGAGCGACGAGGGAAUCCGGAGUGCUCAUGCUCUGCAUGGGCUUUUGUUUACUUCAAACAGGUAAACGAAUAAGGGGUGGGUAAUACGAGUGCCAGCCGCCGCGGUAAUACUCGAGCCCCAAGUGGUAUUCACGAUUAGUGGGUCUAAAGCGUCCGUAGCCGGUUCGAUAAGUCCCUAGUGAAAUCCUUUGGUAAACUGAAGGGCCUGCUGGGGGUACUGCCGAACUUGGGACUGGGAGAGGGUAGACGUACUCCCGGGGGAGGGGUAAAAUCCUAUAAUCCUGGGGGGACGACCUGUGGCGAAGGCUUCUACCUAGAACAGGUUCGACGGUGAGGGACGAAACCUAGGGUAGCAAACGGGAUUAGAUACCCCGGUAGUCCUAGGCGU